GGCGGGGCUCCCCGCAUGGUAAUUCGGAACACCGGGUCAGGGGCGGAAGCCAGCAGCCCACUCUGAUGAGCCAGUGCCGGGGGUUCGGCUCGCCACC
rnacentral:SRP_RNA from 1 species